GCAUCCAUGGCUGAAUGGUUGAGGCAGCCACUCUUGAUUGGCUGACCAGUAGGUUCAAUUCCUACUGGAUGCA
rfam:Daucus carota subsp. sativus cultivar DH1 chromosome 2, whole genome shotgun sequence.